UACGAAGGGGGCUAGCGUUGUUCGGAUUUACUGGGCGUAAAGCGCACGUAGGCGGAUCUUUAAGUCAGGGGUGAAAUCCCGAGGCUCAACCUCGGAACUGCCUUUGAUACUGGAGAUCUCGAGUUCGGGAGAGGUGAGUGGAACUGCGAGUGUAGAGGUGAAAUUCGUAGAUAUUCGCAAGAACACCAGUGGCGAAGGCGGCUCACUGGCCCGAUACUGACGCUGAGGUGCGAAAGCGUGGGGAGCAAACAGG
rnacentral:rRNA from 1 species